AUUGAACGCUGGCGGCAGGCCUAACACAUGCAAGUCGAACGAGUGGCGGACGGGUGAGUAAUGUCUGGGAAACUGCCUGAUGGAGGGGGAUAACUCCUGGAAACGGUAGCUAAUACCGCAUACCAUCAGCUGUGCCCAGAUGGGAUUAGCUUGUUGGUGGGGUAACGGCUAACCAAGUCCACGAUCCCCAGCUGGUCUGAGAGGGUGACCGGCCACACGGGAACUGAGACACGGUCCAGACUCCUACGGGAGGCAGCAGUGGGGAAUAUUGCACAAUGGGCGCAAGCCUGAUGCAGCCAGGCCGCGUGUAUGAAGAAGGCCUUCGGGUUGUAAAGUACUGUCAGCGGGGAGGCGGUACCCGCAGAGGAAGCACCGGCUAACUCCGUGCCAGCAGCCGCGGUAAUAC
rnacentral:rRNA from 1 species